CGUCAAAGGCACACCCGAUCGAAAGUCGGGGUCGCAAAGCCACCGGUCUAAAUCCGCAUUGCGCGGACACGACAGCGGGGUUGCC
rnacentral:ncRNA from 1 species